rnacentral:rRNA from 1 species
CCUACGGGAGGCAGCAGUGGGGAAUCUUGCGCAAUGGGCGAAAGCCUGACGCAGCAACGCCGCGUGCGGGAAGAAGGCUUUCGGGCUGUAAACCGCUUUCAGCAGGAACGAAAAUGACGGUACCUGCAGAAGAAGGAGCGGCCAACUAUGUGCCAGCAGCCGCGGUGAUACAUAGGCUUCAAGCGUUGUCCGGAUUUAUUGGGCGUAAAGAGUUCGUAGGCGGUCAAGUAAGUCGGGUGUGAAAAUUCUGGGCUCAACCCAGAGACGCCACCCGAUACUGCUUAACUUGAGUUCGAUAGGGGAGUGGGGAAUUCCUAGUGUAGCGGUGAAAUGCGCAGAUAUUAGGAGGAACACCGGUGGCGAAGGCGCCACUCUGGAUCGAUACUGACGCUGAGGAACGAAAGCAUGGGUAGCAAACAGGAUUAGGUACCCUGGUAGUCCAUGCGUAACGGUAGGGCGACUAGGUGGUUGGGUUUCGUUAUUAACGUAAACGUACCGCCGCCGUCCGCUAACGACAUUAAGUCGCCCCGCCCGUCGGGGUAGGUACGGUCGGCGAGAACGUAAACCGUAACGAAAGAAGUAGUAGGUCGGUGUAGAGAGUCGACGACGACGACGACGGAGGAGG